AUAUCUCUCUGUACGGGAAGGAUGAGAAGCUUCGACUAAGGUUCGAUUCGAGCGAAAGCGAGAAAGCGUUGCCAACGGCAACGACCCGAAGGGCG
rnacentral:sRNA from 1 species